rnacentral:lncRNA from 1 species
AUGACAAAAAUGGCAAUUCUUGCGGCCAGUUCUGGUAUGGAGGUUGUAAUGGUAACAACAAUAGAUUUGAAACAGAAAAAGAAUGUCAAGAAACCUGUGUUGAUUGAUGAACAAAAAUUACUUCUGUUGGGAACUUUUGAAACUGGAAGUUCAUGUGUACUGAGGAAGAACUGACUGAGAAGAAUCCAAUAUGAUGUGUUACCUUGGAAUUAUUACUGCUGUGCUUUAUUUGUUUCACCACUAUGGUCGGCACAUUAACCAGAUUCCUGCAUAAUGCAUCUUAACUGCAACACCAUAGCAAUAACUUAUAAUUACACAUAUGCACACACAGAAAGAUAUCUUUUCCUUCCAAAUUUACGUAAUUUGAUACUGCUGCACAUGGGAAUAAUGAGAUUCUAUUUUUAUUAUUAAAAUGUCAAAAGUGUUUACACUUAAUUUUUAAUGACAGAAGUUUCCUAGGCUCAUGGAAGAAUAAAAUAUCCUCCAGUUUUAAACAACAGUAAGUGGUUCCUGAAAUUAGCACUCUUAAUACAGCAUUUAGAGACAUAAAUAAAGAUUUGCAUUGAUUAGAGUUUCUCUUUGGAAUGUAAGUAACACAGUUAUAGGUAAUUAGAGAGGGGUUUUGUCCACUAUUAAAGCACACUUGCAUUACAUCAAUAUAAUAGUUUCAAUUAUAAAGGUUGGACUUAGAAUUACAUUAAAAACAGGGUUCUUCAUGUCCUUUAGGCUAAUCAGUACAUUUCAAUUUCUCAGGGCCUCUGGGUUUAAAAAAAAACAAAAAAAAAGUUAUUUCACUCUAAUACUCUAAUAUAUGCUACUAAACCAAAAAAGGGAAAAGCACUGAAAGAUGUAUGUUAAUGUUUACUUAUAUCCUUUGUACUUUUAGCCAUAACCCUGUAUGAGCACAUUGUUAAAACUGAAAAUUUAUAAAUAUGAUUAAAAUAGGAAUUAAUACCUGAUAAAGGGUCAAGCAUCAUUAUUUCUUAUUAUUUCUUUGUAAACAGAAGAAUAGAAUCUAUACAGGUGGUAUGGACAACUCUUGAAAUGUUCAAACAAUUUCUUGCACAAUUUGUAAAUAAAAGGAUGUACUUUGCAAAAUGAACUUGUUUGCAGCAAAUAGGAUGCAAACCUAAUUCUGUGGAAAAGUGUGCUUGAAGUAGAGUUUAAAAGUUUUUAAUAUUUUUUUCCCAAAAACCUGGCCUUUUAAAAUAAGUUUCAAGUUAGAAAUGGAAAAAAAUCUGAGACCAGCCCCAGAAAAUAUUCUGUUCUUAUACUCAGAAUUAAAAUGAUCAUAAUAUAAUAACAUGAUGAUCACUUAGCCUCUGAGGGCACAAAUAAUUUCUGCAUGACAUGAAACAGUAAAACUGAAAGGUAUUGCCUUGCACUAUGCAUACUAUGAAGAUGCCCUUAAUCCUACCAGGAACAUUUUACAUUUCACUGGACCUGGAAACUCUCAGCAGCAAAGCCCACUGGAAUUGUGAGAGAGACUAAGAAUCUGCAAGAUGUUUCAAAUCCUGCGUGCUUGUGCAAUUGCUUCAGGGAUAGGAUUAGCUGUGUGUUCAGCUCCAGAUCUCCAGAUGAAGGGAUGCAUCUGAG